CAGAUUGAACGCGGGCGGCAUGCCUUACACAUGCAAGUCGAACGGCAGCACGGGAGCAAUCCUGGUGGCGAGUGGCGAACGGGUGAGUAACAUAUCGGAACGUGCCCAGUAGUGGGGGAUAGCCCGGCGAAAGCCGGAUUAAUACCGCAUACGACCUACGGGUGAAAGCGGGGGAUCGCAAGACCUCGCGCUAUUGGAGCGGCCGAUAUCAGAUUAGCUUGUUGGUGGGGUAAAAGCCUACCAAGGCGACGAUCUGUAGCUGGUCUGAGAGGACGACCAGCCACACUGGGACUGAGACACGGCCCAGACUCCUACGGGAGGCAGCAGUGGGGAAUUUUGGACAAUGGGCGCAAGCCUGAUCCAGCCAUGCCGCGUGCGGGAAGAAGGCCUUCGGGUUGUAAACCGCUUUUGUCAGGGAAGAAACGGUUCUUACUAAUAUUAGGAACUAAUGACGGUACCUGAAGAAUAAGCACCGGCUAACUACGUGCCAGCAGCCGCGGUAAUACGUAGGGUGCAAGCGUUAAUCGGAAUUACUGGGCGUAAAGCGUGCGCAGGCGGCUUUGCAAGACAGAUGUGAAAUCCCCGGGCUCAACCUGGGAACUGCAUUUGUGACUGCAUGGCUAGAGUACGGUAGAGGGGGAUGGAAUUCCGCGUGUAGCAGUGAAAUGCGUAGAUAUGCGGAGGAACACCGAUGGCGAAGGCAAUCCCCUGGACCUGUACUGACGCUCAUGCACGAAAGCGUGGGGAGCAAACAGGAUUAGAUACCUGGUAGUCCACGCCCUAAACGAUGUCAACUGGUUGUUGGACGGCUUGCUGUUCAGUAACGAAGCUAACGCGUGAAGUUGACCGCCUGGGGAGUACGGCCGCAAGGUUGAAACUCAAAU
rnacentral:rRNA from 1 species